rnacentral:piRNA from 1 species
UCAGAGUCUAACUUGCUCAUGUGAGGCCAC